UGGUGUGAGUGGUCCUUUGAUCUGCUGUGUCAUUGGCUAUUCGUAGCGAGUCUACUGAGUUUGACUACACAUUCUCUUGGUCUCUAGCCAUUCAGGUCCUUGCUGUGUAUGUUGGCUUCAGUAGGUUCAGAUUCGCUGUUUGGAGUAGGAUGCACCUAGAAGGAAUCUAUCGAUCUUGAUAGAAAAGGAGAAGUGCUAUAC
rnacentral:lncRNA from 1 species